GAAUACCAGUCUCCUGGCGGCGGCUGGCACAGCGGAGCUGCUCUCCAAGCAGCGGGGUUCCCAGGCUGGGAAGUUUGCAUUGCCGUUUCUUUGCGGGCGGGCGGCGAGCGCCGACUGCAUGCCACCUGCGAGAGGAAGAGGCCGGUGAAGUCUCACUCUGUUGCCCAGGCUGGAGUGCAGUGGCACGAUCUCGGCUCGCUGCAACCUCCACCUCCCAGGUUCAAGCGAUCCUUCUGUUUCAGCCUCUCCAGUGGCUGGUAUUACAGGAACACACCACCAUGCCUGGCUAAUGCUUCUCUUUCUAUAAAUGAAGACGUGAGGCCGUGUAAGCUCCAAGAGAGCAGGGAUCUUGUUUGUCUUGGUCACCGUGAUAUUUCAGCUGCUGACCCAGUGCUUGAAGCAUAAAGAGAAACUGAGGCCCAUAAAAUUGAAUGGCUCAUCUCAGAUCAAGUGGCCAGAUCAAUGAAGAGAAGUGUCCUUAGGUCCGGCUGCUGGUGUGAAGUAUGCUCUGGAGGUCUGACAUCCACUCUCCCUCAGACUUUCUAAUACGGCAGGAAUUCCGUCCAUGAUGUGCCAGUUCUGGUAAAUUUCCUAGCAAGCUUGAAGGAAGUGAAGGACAACUGCAAGGAAGGGCAGGAUGGAGCAUGCAGCCCACGUAUUCCCCAGCUUGGUGGGGCAGAAUGCGUUCUUGGCUCCUGAGGAAUGGGCAGGCAACGCACAGGGGUCCUGGGAAGAAAGGGAGAGAAUAUCCUGGGAGAGCCAUAGACCCUGGCACCCUCCUGUGGUCCUUCAUCAGGAUAAAUUUCUAAAAGAAGAAUUACUGGCCAAAGGAUUCCUCUUCAGUUGGAAACAGCAGCAAAGUUCACAGGUCGUGAGUGGAUGUAAAGUGGACGGAACAGGUUGUUGCCAGUCUAUUGGAGUAGGAUGGUAGAUGAGCAGUCCCGUUGGCUAACAGGUGUGGGUAUGCCUGUUUUAAAAAUUAGCAUGUUGUAGGGGAAUAUUUCUCAAACUUUUGUCACGUAUCUACCUCUUAGGCAUUUUUUACUUUAUUCACCUGUACUACUAUUUAAUAUUUUUAAAAUUCAACUGAUUUUUUUUUUUGCUUAAAUACAUGUCUUUAAAACUGGAACUUUAUUCGCCACUGUAAAUGGAAAACCAGUGUCAUUUGCCAUAUAUAGAAGUGAACUAUAUAGUAAAUACGGUGAAAGUGAAAUGGUAUCAUCACACUUGUGCUAGAUUCCAUUUCCUAUAGAAGGUUCUGGGUUUCUUAAAAGGCUUGUUAAAAAGAGAGAUGAGUAAAUGUGAGAGGAAUUUAAGACAUACUAGCACCAUUAAGACUUUCUCCUUAAAGUAAUCUGGAGGAUUUAAAUUGAGAAUUGAAAAAAGUAACUUUAUUUUACAUAAGAAAUUAUGUAAAAGAAUUAUGUUAUUUAAUGCCACAUCCAUACGUCAUCAAGAGUCAACUUGGUGACCACUAGUGGCCCAUGUCCCACACUUUGAGAAACGUGUGUUGGGGUGGGAAUCUGAAGUCAGAAAAACUGGAGUAUGAUAACCACCUCAGCACUUAUUAGAGGCCUUCACUUGGGAAUGAUGACCCUUCCUUGUAGGGUUGUAGUGAGAAUGACAGAUAAUAUAUGAAAAGAUAAAACAUGGUGCCAGAGGCAUUAGCAGGUGCUGCGAAGGGGCUGUUGUAUUUCUUGUUAUACUGGAGUGGUUCUCCACCCUGGAUGCAUAUUAGAAUCAUCUGAAGGGCUUUUUAAAAAUACAGAUAUCAUGACCUCACCCCUGGAGAUCCUAAUUUAAUUGGUCAGGGGUAGGGUUCUGGCAUUGUUACUUGUUUAAAACAAAGUUCCUCCUCCUUCCCAGUGAUUUUAAUUUGUAGCCAGUGUUGGAAAAACCAUGGACUUAACCCUUUCCUAAGAGCUUAGAUCAAUUCUGCAGAUUAGCUAUCUGCCAUUUUGAAAAGGUGGCAUAAGCUCAGGGAAGUAUUCACUGGACAAAAGGAAUUCUGGAUGGCGGAAGCUCUAGGCACCAUCAGGCACUUGCUUUGUGCUGGAAGCUGCAUCAAAUGGCUUGAGCCCAAAGUAGACAUAAGGGCUCCUUAUUUCCCUGGACACUGGGAAAAUCAUUUCUCUUAUUCCAAGAGAACAAUUUUGCUGACCAUGGAAAUACUAUCUCUGGUUUCCAGAGGUACAGUGCUGUUCAGUGCUCUUCUGGAGGUUGUAGUAUGAAGAAAUGACAAAGCCAAAAAGGCAUUCUGACCUAGGGAGACUAUCUUUAAAGCAAAAUAUAAAUGUAGGGCAAAAACUCUGCGGUCUCAGGAGGAUUGGAUCCAGGGGAAAAUGUUUAAAAGGCAAACGUUUAGAAUCAAUUAUACAGCUUCAGCAAUGGUUUGCUAUUGUCUUGCUGUCUUUUUGUUUUGCUUUGUGUAGUGUUCAGAAUAUCUGCAUCAUGUAGCAUCUUUCUAUUUUUAGGAGUCUUUAAACUCCUUUAUUCUGAGGCCCCAGAAUAUUCUCAUCCACCACGUACUUUCACGUGGAGAUGACUGACUUCAUCUUUGACAAUGGCAGUUCCCUAACCUUGAUCCAGCACGGGAGCAGGAAUUAUGGCGAAAAUGGCCACCCAAACUGCACCCAGUGGGAAAACAGCAUUAACUCAGCUUUUAAAAAAGUGUCAACUUGGAAAAUCCAAGACCUAGAUCUGAUGCUUAGGGACCCACAAUGCCAGGCAGCAGUCUGGGAGAUGUCACUUCUGGAGCUUCUAAUGAGAUGCAAAUCACCUAGUGAACUACUGGGGAGCUGGGAAACAAUGUCCUGGGUAAAAGCAGAUAAAAAUGGAAUGAAAGAAUUUCUUUGAAGAUUGGAACGACAUUUUAAGUGCUUGCGGAUAUGGGACACCAGAUAGUGUUGGUUUUACUAAGCUAAUUGUGACGGGGUCUUUGAUUCCCUGCAGCAGGGGACCCUGGGGCACUCGUCUCCAGCUCUGCCUCACUCUUUGAGGAGCUAGUUCCAGUUCUACUGUGAGUGUGCAAGGGGCUGGUCAGCUGUAGCAAAACCAGCACUGGACAUGGGGGAUCAGAAGACCCCGGCACACAUAGUUCAAGUUGUGACACAUAUUGGUAUGUGACCUUAAGUGAAUCCCUUACCCCUCUGCUGCCAUGUUUUAUGUGUAAAAUGAUAAAGAGAGGGGUGGACUGAGGUAGUAAUUUUUAAUGGAGAACAUUGGUGUGGCAAAUUACACAUGUUCUGGCCUGAAGAUUCUGAGCUGCUCUCCUUGGAGUCACAUUCUUUCCCAGUGUGUGAACAUCUGUGUGCAGUGAGAGACAUGCCUGAUGGGGAUCUGUUGCCUGAAGCCAGUGUGAAGGCAGGAAAAGGCUUGUUGGAAUUUAAAUACGACCAAUCAAAAUGUGUUUAGGCUUCAAAGGAAAAAGUUCUCCAUAAAUACACCAGAAUUUCAUUCUAACAUGAUUCAUUCAUUCAAAGAGCACAGCUGCACAAGACCUUUGGAUAUCUCCUCCUCCUUCCCCUUAUCUAUAAAUAUGUAAGAAAGAAAACAUGUUUAAAAUACAAUAUUUUAUUUC
rnacentral:lncRNA from 1 species